AUUGGAUUUGCAGAGUCGAAAGAUGAGGAUGAAAACAGGGACUCGAAGAGGAUUGGAGAAUUGGAAUGGGAAAUGCACAGAGAGAUCAAUGAUGGAGAACUCGGCAAACUACAAGUGAUGAGAAUGAAGUAAAAUGAUGAGUAGCACAGUCACGCCGCCAUUUUGGACUCAAGUGCCUUUGCUAACGAAUAUCUUCGGGAAGGUUUAACCUCUAAAUCUCACACUUUCCACAAUAUAAGCUUAGUUAUCCUACUUCAUUUUGGUGUAAAGAAAACAAGGUUUGCGACAAAGUGAAAAUUGUAAAAAAUAAAUAUUUUCUGAAAAUGCGUGAAUUUCUGGGUGUAACGCGUAACAUGAAAUGUAUCAGACGGAAGAAAAAAAAUGAAAUAUCUCAAUAUAGAACGCACGUGGGGCCACUAUUUUUUGGCCGUUAGUAGUUUAUGACAAAAGCAACAGGCAGUAUGAUUUGCAACAAGAAUGGUUUAUUCUAACGCAAGUUAUAAACGUCUGUUUUUAUCACUGGAAAAUGUAACGCUCGCAACUAUUAAAACAACCAUAGUGUG